rnacentral:lncRNA from 10 species
UCCUACCACUCAGAGAGAACCACACUAACAUUUUGUUUCCUUUCAAAUUUGGUACUGUUUUCUAAUUAUCACAAUUCACACAAAUUAUCUCCUCAUUCUUUCAUUCAGUCCACAGCUAUAGAGCUGAGUGCUGGUGUGUGCGGUUCAGAUUCUCACUGCACUGAGAGUACCCAGAAGAACAAGUUCACUGGAGUUCAGAGCAGUUAGAUGUGGGAGACUUGACUUGGGCAACCUGAAUGGAGAAAGAGGGAAUAAGGAUGGCUUCCACAGAGCAGAAGGGCCUGCACCAGGAAGAUUGCAGGUAUUGUAGAUAUCUGGUUCUUUGACUUAUUCAGCAUUCAUUCCUCACUUCUUUUUUUUUCCUUUUUCUUUUUCUUUUUUUUUUUUUAAGAUGGAGUCUCGCUCUGUCACCCAGGCUUGAGUGCAGUGGUGAGAUCUCGUUUUACUGCAACCUCCACCUCUGGGGUUCAAGUGAUUCUCGUGCCUCAGCCUCCCGAGUAGCUGGGAAGGCGCGCGCCACCAGGCCCGGCUAAUUUUUGAAUUUUUAGUAGAGACGGGGUUUCACCAUAUUGGCCAGGCUGGUCUUGAACUCCUGACCUCAGGUGACCCGCCCACUUCGGCCUCCGAAAGUGCUGGGAUUAAAGGCGUGAGGUACCGUUCCGGCCUCAUUCCCCACUUCUGAGAAGAGCACCUGGCUUUCCUUUGGAGGAGUCAUUCCUUCCCCACCAUCAGCCCUCAGCUCCUGCUUGGGUGCAGCUAACCCUACCCCUCGGUUCCAGGUGGUCACAUGACCCAACUCUGGUCAAUCCCUCCCACCAGUGAUUGGCUCACAGCUGGGCACAUGACUAGAUCAGGCCAAUCAAGACCAAGGAGACUCUGUUCCAUCUGUGGGGCCUGCCUAGAAAGGGAAACUCUCUCUCCAUUGGAUUUGGAGCUAUAAGGAUGAAGCCUGGAGCUGCUGGUGGCUGCUUUUCUAUCAGGAGCAGAGAGAGGAUACUGGGAAAUAAAGCCAACACGGUAAAGGGAAUAGCUGAGAGAUGGAGGAAGUGUGACCACCCUGAGGGAAACCUUGGAGCUUCUCCAGCCAGUUGUAUUGAAGUCCAUGGCUUCUACGGAUUUCCGGUGUUAGCCCAGUAUCCCAGUCUGAAGACGUCCGCCCUUUAUCUUUCACAGGGAUUCCCUUGAUAAAUCCCCUGCAAGUCUGAGCCUGUCCUGGCAUCUGCUUCCCAGAGGAUCCAAAUUAACACAGAUAACUUCCAUUUUGUAGGAUGAGAUAAUGAAGUCUACAACCAUCCAAACUCAAAAUCAUCUGUUGUCAAGGAAAUACAGUUUCACAUUGCAGUGGUAAGGACCAUGGGCUUUGGGUAGACCAGGGUGUGAGUCCUACCCACCAGCGGUAUGACCUUUAGGAAAUGUCUUAGCCCGCCCUGACCCUCUAUUUCCUCAUCCGUGGAAUCAGUGAUUCUUAACUGGGAACAAUUUUGUUUCCUCCGGGACAGUUUGCAAUGUCUGGAGAUUUUUUUGGUUGUCACAACUAGGGGGAGGGGAAUGGUUGCAGCUGGCACCUAGUUGGGUAGAAGGCCAGGGACACUGCUAAAUAUCCUACAAUGCACAGAGCAGCCCCUCCAAGACAAAGAUUAUCCAGCCCAAAAUAUCCAUAGUGCAGAGGUUGGAAAACUCUGUGUUAAAUGGGGAUGAUAAUAGUAAACUAACUCAAAGAACUAUUGUGAGGACUCAAUGGGAUCAUGUGUUCAAUAUCCCUCGCCUUCCUUGUAAACUCCACAAGGGCAGGAACCAGAUGAUGUAGAUCAAUGUUCUGUAUCAUCAAUGACUGGAUCAUAAAAGGCGCAAAGUAAAUUAUUAAUUGUUGAAAU